CGGCAGGUCCGNAUGCCCCGAAACCCCCGGNCCACACGCGGGCUGCAAUGGUGGGGACAAUGGGUUCCGACCCCGAAAGGGGAAGGUAAUCCCAUAAACCCCACCUCAGUUGGGAUCGAGGGCUGCAACUCGCCCUCGUGNACAUGGAAUCCCUACUAACSSCGCGUCACCAACGCGCGGUGAAUACGUCCCUGCUCCU
rnacentral:rRNA from 1 species